UACGUAGGGGGCAAGCGUUAUCCGGAUUUAUUGGGCGUAAAGAGCUCGUAGGCGGCCGUUCGCGUCGGAUGUGAAAGCUCAGGGCUCAACCCUGAGACGCCAUUCGAUACGGGACGGCUAGAGGUAGGUAGGGGAAAGUGGAAUUCCUGGUGUAGCGGUGAAAUGCGCAGAUAUCAGGAGGAACACCGAUGGCGAAGGCAGGUCUCUGGGCAUUAACUGACGCUGAGGAGCGAAAGCAUGGGGAGCGAACAGG
rnacentral:rRNA from 1 species